rnacentral:rRNA from 1 species
GAGUUUGAUCCUGGCUCAGGAUGAACGCUAGCGGCAGGCCUAACACAUGCAAGUCGAGGGGUAACAGGAGUAGCUUGCUACUUGCUGACGACCGGCGCACGGGUGCGUAACGCGUAUACAAUCUACCUUUUGCUGAGGGAUAGCCCAGAGAAAUUUGGAUUAAUACCUCAUGGUAUCAUAUUAUCGCAUGGUAAAAUGAUUAAAGGUUACGGCAAAAGAUGAGUAUGCGUCCUAUUAGCUAGAUGGUGUGGUAACGGCACACCAUGGCAACGAUAGGUAGGGGCCCUGAGAGGGGGAUCCCCCACACUGGUACUGAGACACGGACCAGACUCCUACGGGAGGCAGCAGUGAGGAAUAUUGGACAAUGGAGGCAACUCUGAUCCAGCCAUGCCGCGUGCAGGAAGACUGCCCUAUGGGUUGUAAACUGCUUUUAUACGGGAAGAAACCCACCUACGUGUAGGUGGCUGACGGUACCGUAAGAAUAAGGAUCGGCUAACUCCGUGCCAGCAGCCGCGGUAAUA